rnacentral:rRNA from 1 species
CCUACGGGUGGCUGCAGUGAGGAAUAUAGGUCAAUGGGCGCGAGCCUGAACCAGCCAAGUAGCGUGAAGGAUGACUGCCCUACGGGUUGUAAACUUCGUUUAUAAAGGAAUAAAGUGAGGCACGUGUGCCUUUUUGUAUGUACUUUAUGAAUAAGGAUCGGCUAACUCCGUGCCAGCAGCCGCGGUAAUACGGAGGAUCCGAGCGUUAUCCGGCUUUAUUGGGUUUAAAGGGAGCGUAGAUGGGUUGUUAAGUCAGUUGUGAAAGUUUGCGGCUCAACCGUAAAAUUGCAAUUGAUACUGGCAGUCUUGCGUCCCGUUGCGGUAGGCGGAAUUCUUUGUGUAGCGGUGACAUGCU